AUCCACAUGGAGGUUAGAAAGCUGGGAAGAAGCUAGCCUUCCCUUUCAUCCACCCAUAUUGAGCAACUGGAAACUUUAGAAGAGUUUGAGAGAGAGGAGGAACGCCUCAAGGACAAGCAAGCCUUGGAAUCUCUGGCUGUUUACCAACCGGCUGAUGGCCAAAUUCAACAUGAAGGGGAAAGGGAAGAAGCAGAAACUUCCUCUGGAAAAAAGUGAAACUUACAAAGCAAUUACAGCUGCUGUAAUGAAAUGGGACAAGACAGCUACAGAGGCAACAAUAAACCAUCAUGCAGCAGAACAUCUGAAACAUGCACCGGGGAGGAAGGGAGGGGGAGGGCAUACAGUGUUGCAAAGUAACUAAGUAUAAUGUGUAUAUAUAAAAAUAUGUUAAAGUUACAUUUAAAUAUGAAUUUAAAUUUAAAAUAAAAUAUUACACACACACACACAAGGUUUACCAGACUUAUCCGUUCACAUUGCAUGUCAUGUACCUUUUUGAGUUAAUUAAUGUCAGUAAACUGUGUGUGGUGUUGUUGUUGUUGUUUUUUUAAAUAGCUUAAGUUUUGAGGAUAACCUUAUUAAAGACUGGCAAAAUGUUAUUGUCAUGAAAUGUUUUAUUUGUGUACUUAAAAAAAAGAGAUGUCAUGUAAUAAAAAAUUUC